CGCCGCGUGAGGGAUGACGGCCUUCGGGUUGUAAACCUCUUUCAGCAGGGAAGAAGCCACAAGUGACGGUACCUGCAGAAGAAGCGCCGGCUAACUACGUGCCAGCAGCCGCGGUAAUACGUAGGGCGCAAGCGUUGUCCGGAAUUAUUGGGCGUAAAGAGCUYGUAGGCGGUUUGUCGCGUCUGCUGUGAAAGCCCGGGGCUCAACCCCGGGUCUGCAGUGGGUACGGGCAGACUAGAGUGCAGUAGGGGAGACUGGAAUUCCUGGUGUAGCGGUGAAAUGCGCAGAUAUCAGGAGGAACACCGAUGGCGAAGGCAGGUCUCUGGGCUGUUACUGACGCUGAGGAGCGAAAGCAUGGGGAGCGAACAGGAUUAGAUACCCUGGUAGUCCAUGCCGUAAACGUUGGGCACUAGGUGUGGGGGACAUUCCACGUUCUCCGCGCCGUAGCUAACGCAUUAAGUGCCCCGCCUGGGGAGUACGGCCGCAAGGCUAAAACUCAAAGGAAUUGACGGGGGCCCGCACAAGCGGCGGAGCAUGCGGAUUAAUUCGAUGCAACGCGAAGAACCUUACCAAGGCUU
rnacentral:rRNA from 1 species